rnacentral:rRNA from 1 species
UACAGAGGGGGCAAGCGUUGUUCGGAAUUACUGGGCGUAAAGGGCGCGUAGGCGGCCUUCUAAGUCGAACGUGAAAUCCCCGGGCUCAACCCGGGAACUGCGUCCGAUACUGGAAGGCUUGAAUCCGGGAGAUGGAUGCGGAAUUCCAGGUGUAGCGGUGAAAUGCGUAGAUAUCUGGAGGAACACCGGUGGCGAAGGCGGCAUCCUGGACCGGCAUUGACGCUGAGGCGCGAAAGCCAGGGGAGCAAACGGG